rnacentral:misc_RNA from 1 species
AGAAGGCGUUACAGAUGUUACUAUAGCAACCGAAACAAGAUGGCUGCGUUCUUGGAACUGUGGAACAAGAGACAGCAGUUAGUUGAGGCCGUCUGUGAGGCUUGUAGAGAAGCUGAAGAUUGGAGAGAGAAGGAAUAUAAUGCAGCCAUUAAGAUACAGAGCUGGUUUAGAGGCUGUCGUGUCAGAGCAUAUCUUAGGUAUCUGAAUGAGUGUGCAGUAAUAAUACAAAAGACAUACAGGGGACAUUAUGGAAGACGUCAAUACAGAGAAUACCUUAAGGAGUACUAUGAUGAGCUCCAGCAUCAAUUUUAUAGUCACAUGGCAACAAUUAUACAAUCAGCUUGGAGAGGUUAUUAUACAAGAAAGUAUUUAUUCAAUUAUUAUGCUCAAAAGACUUAUCUUGCUGAACUGAAGAAAAAGAAUGAAGAAACAAGGCUGAUUUUACAAGAACAUAAGCAAAAGGAAAUAGAUAGGCAGCUCAAAAGAGAAAAAGAACUUCAAGAGAUUAUGAUUAGAAAAAAGGCUCUGCAGUACCACUACAUGUUGAGUACAGAAUCAUCUCCUGGUGUUUUCAAACAGCGUGAUACUGAAUCUGUAGAUCAGCUUGAAGCACAGAUGAGGUCCAUUCAUUAUCACAAUAACAGUACUGCCUCAAGUCUCACAGCAAGUAGAAGAAGACUGAGACAGAAACACACCAGCCAGCCUAAAAGAUACUGGUCAAAGGAUGAGUCGAGUGGAUCAUUGCCAGCUAUUGAUCUAACUGCUGCUGAUGGUGACUGUAGACUAAGGCACACACUUCCACCUAUAAAUAAGCCUCAGGGUCCAUUCAAGUUACCUAAAGAUGUUUGGCAGAAGAGGCACAGUGUUCUCAAGCCAACUCUACGAACCAGUACAUCUUACUCUUCUGUUGAGCAGGCUAGUGAAACAGUUGGAAACCGGAAAGGUGUAACUCAACCUUCCCCUCUCUCUUCCCCACAUUUCCUGCACGCAACUCCUCCUCCUCCUCUCUCUUCAAAUGCUCCACUUUAAUUUGGCCCUCCUCCUCCUCCUCCUUCUCUCUCUUCCUAUUAUUCACAACCUCUCUCUCCCAUCACCUCUUCCCUGCACACAUCCUUCACCUCCUCCAUUGCACUGUAGGUUAGAAUUACAGGACAAAGAAGACCAAAUGAUAGUAGUCAAUGAAAAGUUCCUUCCAUUCACAAAGUCUACAUUUCAAUAUCGUCAUCCUGUUAUGGC